rnacentral:lncRNA from 1 species
UCAGAUUUUGAGGAUGACGACUCAAACAUAGAGAGAAGUUCUGAAAGUAAUCUAGGUGCGUUGCAUAGAACAGUGUUGACUUCCAGAUCGGGAUCACCGGGCGUUAAACCGAGUAAGAUCCCAAUAGGUACCAGCAGCCAGUCAACCUCUGGAUCUUCUUGUAUGACCUUUGACUCCAGCAAGACCACUACCAGUGCGAGCAGAAAAUUCCGAUAUAUCCUCAGGUUUCACAGGAUACAUGUCAGUUCAGAGCACCUGAACUUUAAAGCCACAGUGCAGAGAAGAUACACUAAGAGAAGUACUAAAAACAGG